rnacentral:lncRNA from 1 species
UCUUUCAUUAUUUAUCAUGUGUUAAUAUUUUGCACUGCCCCUACACUACAUCUCGAGUGAUUUUACUGCUUUUCUUUUGCCCAGGGCUAGCACAUAUUUUUCAGACCAGAGUCUCUCCAGGUUGCGUCUCUGGGCCCUGCUGUGCCUGAGCAAAGUGGGAAGUCUUCUCCUCCUUGGCUGUUUGGGGCUCAUUUUGAGGAUGAAAUCCAGAAAUCCAGAUGGAGGAGGGAGUCUGCUGGCCCAAUGCCUGCCAGCCUUCCUGAGGAGCCAGCCGCCAUGUCCUUCAUGGGCCAGAGCUUGCGACCAUCGGAGCUCCACCUCGGACCCUGAUGGAUGCCUCCCUCCUGGCGCUUCCCUUCCAGACAGCCAGGGUCUUCCUCGGCAGCAUUGAGAAGAGUCGCCUGCAGUGCACCUCAGCUGAUUCACCCUUUCUGGACCUAUGGAAAGUUUGGUAUUCUUCUACAAUAGAAAACAGGCUUUGUGGUGACUGGGAGCCGACUUCUGAGCUCAAAUCUCCAAUGGAGCAACUCGACUCUUCAAAGAGCUCCAGGAAACACUGCAGCUUCUGUUUCGAAUUUGGACAGAAUCAGGGUAAUGAAAUGUGUUGAAAUCUUCUCUUAAAACAAAUGAUGGGACAUUCAGAUUUGUUUAUUGCAGGCCGGAAGUCAUUUACACGCAAGAUAAAGUAUGAGUGGUGAGGUGGCCUAGAGGUGGAACUCUGGUCUCACAAUCAGGAGGCUGUGAGUUCUAUCUUAGGUGGAGGCAGAUGUUGCUCUCUCUGGGAACACUGAGAAUAUUAUCUGCCUGACAAAACUCCGCAUCGGUGACAGGAAGGGCAUCCGGCCAUUAAAACACUCUGCUAGAUCCAUUCAGUUGCCCAGAUUCCACCCCUCCAGGGAUUAUGAGGUCAUUAAAUGAAGAAUUACCUUUGCUCAAAACUGGAAACAAGAUGACACUCACUUGGACGUAAUGGUAAUAAGAAAGAUCUUUGAGUGUGCAGAGAUGGAUAGGUUAACUAUGGAGUUAAAAGACAGAGAAGAAACGGAAUGCUAUAAGAUCUGGAAUGGAUGGUGCCAGUGGUUAGAGAACAGACGUAAAGUUGUUACAGGAAGAAUAUGUAGGAGGUAUAGUAAAAGGAGGAAGUAUUGCAUAUAUAUUUGUAAAUAUUGUAAAUAUUGUUAUAAGUUAAAAGUAGGAAAAAACUAUAUAACAUAAUAGAGCAGUAAAAAUUAUAUCACUAUGAGUGAAUACCAUAACCUGAACGCUGUAAUGAGUGUAAAUGUGAUGUUUUAAUUUGAAAUACGACUAAUAAAAAUUUACUUUGUAAAAAAAAAAUCAAGAUGAGAUGAUACUAUGGCACCCUUGGUGCUCUCUGAGCUUGGUUGUUUUCUUGCAGUCAUUUCAUGUUGAUGUUACAUUACAUUAGGUAACAUCAGUGUAGAAGGGACUGGGUUUACUCUAUGUCUAUAAGUCACCCGCCCUGUCAGUGUUGGUGGGAGUGUGGUUUUCUUCUUGG